UUCCUUUUCUCACACAACGACCUGUGCCAGAGUUCCCGUCCACCUUCACGGGUGUGUUCUGGUUGAAUGCUGGCAGUUCGUCCGUCCUCAUGGAGCCAUCUCUUUUCCAUAGGUGUCAAUUUCUGGACGACAGGUCGAAGAGUGAGUCGGCGCGAUGCUAAGAAGCCUGAAUUCGCCGCAAGGUUUGAGCUCGGUGGAUGGCGCGUGCCAGGCAGACUGAUUCCUGUUCCCUUUUGCUAGGCCGUCGGCCCAUGAUGCUUGGGACAAACCCAGUCGGCUACAUAC
rnacentral:snRNA from 1 species